AAUAUUGCACAAUGGGGGAAACCCUGAUGCAGCGACGCCGCGUGAGCGAAGAAGGCCNNNGGGUCNUCAAGCUCUGUCCUAAGNGACNAAACGGACGGUACCUUAGGAGGAAGCCCCGGCUAACUCCGUGCCAGCAGCCGCGGUAAUACGUAGGGGGCGAGCGUUAUCCGGAAUUACUGGGCGUAAAGGGUGCGUAGGCGGCCCUUUAAGUCAGAUGUGAAAGGCCACGGCUUAACCGUGGGAUUGCAUUUGAAACUGGAGGGCUUGAGUGUCGGAGAGGGUAGUGGAAUUCCCAGUGUAGCGGUGAAAUGCGUAGAUAUUGGGAGGAACACCAGUGGCGAAGGCGACUACCUGGACGAUAACUGACGCUGAGGCACGAAAGCUAGGGGAGCAAAC
rnacentral:rRNA from 1 species